rnacentral:rRNA from 1 species
GAUGAACGCUGGCGGCGUGCCUAACACAUGCAAGUCGAGCGGAAAGACGCUGCUUUUGCGGGGCUCUCGAGAGGGGAAGGGGGGUGAGACACGCGAGUAUACCGUCCUUGUCUGUGGGAGAUCAUCAGGGAACAGCGGCUAUAACACGGGAUGAGAUACUGAUCCAUGGGGGGGGUUGGAGAGUUACGGCGGUUGGGGAUGGUCUCGCGGCUUAUCAGCUUGUUUGUGGAGUAGGGGCGUACGAGGGCUUCGACGGCUAGCCGGCAUGGGAGGGUGGCCAGCGACCAUGGGACUGAGAUACGGACCAGACUCCAACGGGAGGCAGCAGUGGGGAAUAUUGCACAGUGGGCGGGCGCCUGAUACAGCAACGCCGCGUGCGGGAUGAAGGCCUUCGGGUGAAGAACCGCUUUCGCCUGAGACGAAGCGUGAGUGACGGUAAUGGGUAAAGAAGCACCGGCUAACUACGUG